GGGGAUAUAGCUCAGUUGGUAGAGUGCUUGUCUUGCAUGCACACAGCCCUGGGUUCAAUCCCCAGCACCA
rnacentral:tRNA from 1 species